rnacentral:rRNA from 1 species
AGUGAACGCUGGCGGUAGGCCUAACACAUGCAAGUCGAACGGCAGCACAGUAAGAGCUUGCGCUUACGGGUGGCGAGUGGCGGACGGGUGAGGAAUACAUCGGAAUCUACUUUUUCGUGGGGGAUAACGUAGGGAAACUUACGCUAAUACCGCAUACGCCCUACGGGUGAAAGCAGGGGAUCUUCGGACCUUGCGCGAUUGAAUGAGCCGAUGUCGGAUUAGCUAGUUGGCGGGGUAAAGGCCCACCAAGGCGACGAUCCGUAGCUGGUCUGAGAGGCUGAUCAGCCACACUGGAACUGAGACACGGUCCAGACUCCUACGGGAGGCAGCAGUGGGGAAUAUUGGACAAUGGGCGCAAGCCUGAUCCAGCCAUACCGCGUGGGUGACGAAGGCCUUCAGGUUGUAAAGCCCUUUUGUUGGGAAAGAAAAGCAGCAGGUUAAUACCCCGCUGUUCUGACGGUACCCAAAGAAUAAGCACCGGCUAACUUCGUG